rnacentral:rRNA from 1 species
CCUAUGGGGGGCAGCAGUGGGGGAUAUUGCACAAUGGGGGGAACCCUGAUGCAGCGACGCCGCGUGGGUGAAGAAGCGCCUCGGCGCGUAAAGCCCUGUCAGCAGGGAAGAAAAUGACGGUACCUGAAGGAGAAGCCCCGGCUAACUACGUGCCAGCAGCCGCGGUAAUACGUAGGGGGCAAGCGUUAUCCGGAUUUACUGGGUGUAAAGGGUGCGCAGGCGGGAGAUCAAGUCAGCGGUAAAAUGUCGGGGCUCAACCCCGGCCGGCCGUUGAAACUGGUUUUCUAGAGUUGGAGAGA